rnacentral:tRNA from 1 species
GGUUCCAUAGUGUAGCAGUUAGCAUGUCUGCUUUACACACAGAAGGUCCUGGGUUCACGUCCCAGUGGAGCCA